GGGGCCCCGGAACCGAUUUAACCAUUCGGGUAAUUAAAAGGAGGGAAAACUGCAAAAUAAUAACAAAGUUGAAAAAGAAAGAAUGAGGAAUGAGGGAUUCUGUUCGCUCGAUUCAUUAAGCUUGGCUUGGUAUAUUAAUGGUGAACGUGGAGAGGAGAGAGUGAGGGAAGAGGUUUGAGGUUGUUUGUUUAUUGGCCAUUUGCUUUAAGGAUUUCCGUGAAGGAGAGCAGCGGCCGACAUUGAAACUUUUUUGGUGUGCAAAUUCGAACCUGGUAUUUGUGUUUCCGGUUUUGGAUUCAACGCUGCCGGUGCUGCGUUCGAAUCUCGAGGAGGGAAGAAACCCUAGCGAGGUUGGCUCGGGUAAUGUUGCUGUAGAGCAGAAAGAGAGAGAGAGAGAGAGAGAGAGAGAGAGAGGAAAUAUAUUUGCGCCUGCCUUGGCUUUUCUCAUUGCGUGCGCUGCAGCAGCUCGGGAAGGAGAAGAUCAGAUGUAGGCUGAAACGGAAGCGGGAACAGCCGGCUGAGAGGGGACAAUUUGCACCUGCUUCUGCCCGAUGCUGCCUUCCUUUGCCCUCUGCAACAUCGUUCAAUUUAUUCCUCGACUACAGAUCUUAGGUCUUUUGUUGUGGUUUUGUGGGGUAUUACGGAGAAAAGCGGUGCAACUUACCAAUUGUCCUUUGUUGUGCAGAUACAGCGGACUACUGUUGCUCACUUUGAUCAUAGUAUGUACGAGGAGUAUUAGUGAAAGAGAAAGGUGGAGGGCAGUUGGCACUGCACGGCAAGGCACAGCUAGGUACACGAUAAUGGCCUGCGGGGGAAGAUUUCCUCUAUUUUCACCUUGUGCCCCAUCACGGUACGCUACCGGCCAGCCUAAAUUUGUCGCUAACGGAGGUUUAGUUCCCGAGGUGAAGGCUGCAGGUAGCUGUAGCCUGAAACGCAACUGUUUGGAGGGCCUAACGCAGGGGUCGACAAGAUGUGAAACUUCGUCCCGGUACUCCGAUGAGGAAGUCGCAUUCAGCUACGGGGACCCUUCAUCUUCGACUUUUGCAGCAGGGGAGAAGCUCGUACUGGAUCUCGCCAAAAGUACCUCUAACGGUACGCUCUCUAUGCUGGACGCAUUCAAAGCCGGCAGCUGGGCUCAGCAGAAGCCUGCUGCUGGUGCUGCUUCUGCCUACAUGGAACUUAUUAGCUGUAGCAAUCAGAACCUGCCUCUUCACAGCCCCGGCGGGCAAAGAGCUUUGAAAGCUACUGGCAUAAACCCCAGUCUGCUGGAGUCAAGUCAUGAGUUCAAACCCGACGACGCAUCCUCGCAUAACAUGCUGAGUAAGAGCUCCGGGGAUCUGGAGAUACUGUCCGAGUCCAUUAAUGAGUGCCUUAUGCAGGAAGAACGUGCAAAUGCACGCCCGAAAGAAGCGGAUCAUAUGCAAACGGCGAUGAAGGGUUCAAAGCGUAAGGCGGCGGAGCUUAUGAAGAAACCGGCGGGUUUUGAGGUGCAAUCAGAGAGAAAAAGUCAGGAGGAAUCGAGAAUAGUACGGGUUUCUCGAUUGACAGGUGGUAAAGAUCGGCACAGUAAAGUCCGGACUGCAAAAGGACUUCGCGACAGGAGGGUGAGGCUGUCUGUAUCUACGGCAAUUCAAUUCUAUGACCUGCAAGACAGGCUAGGCCUUGAGCAGCCCAGUUUGGCUGUGGACUGGCUACUCAAAGCAGCCCAGCCGUUUAUUGCUGAGCUGCCCGAACCUGACACGGAUUCGCACUCUCUUUCUGUCUCUGCGCCUGUUGUAGAAGCAGGCUCCAACCUGGCAUCUACAAACUGUUCGCCCGUUAAAUGUAGAGAUAGUGCAACUGCUACCGCAAGCCCAAAAACCGAGAGCAAGUUCAGCAAAAAGCAAUUAACUAUUGAGCCCAGCAAGCGUUCUGAUGCGGGCAAGAGCAGCAGCAGUGGUUCGGAUGGGAGCAUUAUGGGUGCUGAGUAUACAUCCAAGUCUUCCUCCUUGUCAAAAUCGGCUAGGCUGAAAGAAGCAAGAGAAAGAUUUAAAAGGAAAUCAGCUUCAGCCAAAAUCCCUGCUGCAUCCGCACAGGCCAAUUCCUUGGAAUCUUCAUUCCCAAGUCAGUUUAUGAACGGUUGGAGCUACAAGGACGAGAUUCCCUAUGGGAUUUCAAGCCAGGUAUCUGGGGACCAUAUUCAGCACCAACUGUGGGAUUGUUGUACGCAAUUAUCCUACUCAGACAUUUUAUGCAAGGAUUCUCGACAGCUUCAACACAUGGGUCAUUUGGGCACAUCUUCCACCGUAGCAUUACAGCAAGCUAUGCAACCUGGGAUGUGGAGUUCUUAUGAAAUGGCAGACUCCGGGAUUACAUAUAAUGAUCCCAAGCAAAGAAAUGCAGUACAAAUCUAUUUAAAUCCAAUUACUUCCUAUCCUUCUCAGCAGCACCAAUCGCAAGCAAUGCCAAAACAUUUUGCUUCUACGUUUGUUACCGCCCAUGGCAGCGAUGCAAAUUUCUCAACGCCAGGCUUUUGUACCAAUAGGGGACCCCUUCAGUCCAAUCCAUCAUCUUGUAUUACAAAUUAUCCUCCUCUCCACACGCAGAAGAAUGUCUAUGCUGAAGCUUCUACAAGACUGAACGUGCUUCCUUUUCAUCCUUACGAUGCUCGUAUACCAGAGCGGUUUAGUUCCAUUUUGGACGGGAACACCCAACAAUGAAGCAACUCACAAACGGGGUAAGGAGAAGGAUCUCAGUGGCGGAUCUUCUUCAGUAGCAUGCAUGUCGUUCUUAUCAAUGUGUGAAAAUUUUUGGCAGCCGGGGAAAUUAGCGGGCCUUCUCUCAACGCUUCUCAUACAGGUACUAUUGAUGCAGUAAAUAAUAGUGGAACUACAGUUGGUCGAAAGAAGAAUCAUUUUACAAGGAUGAGACCACGUGAGAAGAAACAUUUCACAGGGUGAUUAGGUAGCUUAUGCAACAAAGUUCCAAGUGGUCAUUGGGAUUACGAUGCAGGAUGACAGCAACAAAACUACAAGCAAGCACCCAACUAAUUGAAACUCAAUUAUGCCCUGUAACACAAGGAGGAAUCAACGGAUCUCUGCGGGACUUUCAAUCGUGGGCACUAAAGAAGGUGACUCUGGUUACUGUAUUGAGGAAUUCCUUUACACGUUGAAUGAUAAUAUUUUUUUGGUUAUCAAUUUUUGUUACAUUUCAGCAAAGAUUGAAUCUUAGGCCUGAUAAAAGAAAGUACAACUGAGGCAGCAGUUGUUUGAAAGAAGAAAUGUUGCCAAAGAUAACAUUCUAAAUCUAUCCUAAGCUCAUAAGUUGAAUUCUGAAACAUAAAAUGCAGAAAAUAUGCUGGAAUGUUGAUUGUUUAGAUGUAAUCGUCUGAUGUUGAAACUAUUGUUGGUCCUUGCCUUUUAGUUUCAAUAUAUUCUUGAUCUUUGUUUUCAAAAUGUAGUUUCAUUCCUACGCCGUACUGUAAGUUUUUGAAAUUUGAUCAAAAGGAUAUUUCUCAGUCUCUCUCAAAAGCUGAAGAGGCUGUUGAUUCGUGCUCCAACAUUCACAGACUAAAUAAUACAAACAAUGACAUG